rnacentral:lncRNA from 1 species
UUUUACAAAUCCUCCAUCUAGACUACAAAAGUCUGAAAUGCAGGCAAUAUUGGGUGUCAUAUGAAAGGAACAACCUGAAUCCAGGACCCAGUCCUGAUCAGAAUUUUCAAAUAGAGACACAUAGGCAACUCCAAUAUUUGCUCCUGCUUCUUUAUAAUUAGCAGCAACUGCUAAAGAAGCAUUUUCAGUGUUAGACCCAUUCUUUUGGUCAUUUGCCUUUUUAAAACAAUCUUUAAUAAAG